rnacentral:tRNA from 1 species
CAGGGAGACAACAAAAUGUUAAAUAUUAAUUUUGUCACCUUAGGUCGAUCGGUAUCUCACAUUCUUAAAUUUAUUAAGGAUUUUAUUUCCUAAGUUUUUUCUAGGUCACACCCAUUACUUUUCCUGGGCCAUUAGCUCAGGUGGUUAGAGCGCACCCCUGAUAAGGGUGAGGUCCCUGGUUCAAGUCCAGGAUGGCCCAUAUCUCUAUGUUGGGGGUAUAGCUCAGUUGGUAGAGCGCCUGCUUUGCAAGCAGGAUGUCAGCGGUUCGAGUCCGCUUACCUCCACUGAUUACCACCUCUUUCAAAAUGUUGAUAAGGAAAUGUUUUGAGUUGUGAUCAAAUUCUGAACGAAUCUAGCUUCCUAAUCAAAAGAUUAAGACGCUGGACUCAUUGAAUUAUUUUCAUUGUUUUCAGAGAACCUUGACAACUGCAUAGAUUAUUUUUAAAGACAAUAAGCAUCUUUAGUGAUGCAGAUUUAUUAUUUGUGCGAAUGCAUUAAUAACAAUUCUAUUAAGCUGAUGCUUCAAUUUUUGAAGUUAUU